UACGGAGGGUGCAAGCGUUGCUCGGAAUCAUUGGGCGUAAAGCGCACGUAGGCGGCCUGUUAAGUCGGGUGUGAAAGCCCUGGGCUCAACCCAGGAAGUGCACUCGAAACUGGCGGGCUUGAAUAUGGAAGAGGGUCGCGGAAUUCCCGGUGUAGAGGUGAAAUUCGUAGAUAUCGGGAGGAACACCAGUGGCGAAGGCGGCGACCUGGGCCAAUAUUGACGCUGAGGUGCGAAAGCUAGGGGAGCAAACGGG
rnacentral:rRNA from 1 species